rnacentral:tRNA from 1 species
UCAGUUGGUAGAGCGCAACCUUGCCAAGGUUGAGGUCACGAGUUCGAACCUCGUGUGUCGCU